rnacentral:lncRNA from 1 species
CCAACAUUAUCAAUAUUUAGCUUUAAUUUUUAUGCUCCACAAGAUCCAUUAAUUAAAUCAUUUUAUACAUCAAAUAUUUAAUGACAAAAUUAAUAUUUACUAAAUUAUCAUGCAUCAAUUGGGCAAAUAUAUUUUUUGUACUAACGAAGAUGGAUAUAAUCGUUAACCAAUGGGGAAUCCGUUAUCCGGUAGGCAUGGUUAAUUUUUGUGGUUAUGAAGAUGGAUAUAGCAUUUCCGUUCCCAAACCGAUCCGUUGCCAUCCCUAAUUAAAAGAUAGUCUGCAACUAACAAGUGUACACUUUCUCUCAAUGCAUGCAUGUAACUGAAACCCUUUUAAGUUUACAUCUAUAGAUGUUUUACAACUUUUCUCAACGGUACAUUUCUUUCCUGCAAAUUUUUUGCUGUGAAUAUUCCAAGUGUUUGACUUACAGUUGCCAACAUUCUGCGAACCAAACUUAAAGAUCUUCCAAUCACAUUCGUUCAUCGUAUAUCGUGUGAUGAGAAAUUAUUGUAAUUUUUUUAUUUAAAAUUUAAUAUAAACGAUACCUGACAAAAACUAAUCGUACGAUGUAUGAUAAAUAUGUGUGAUUGGAAGAUCCGGCUAGAAUCCUCACAAAGAGGAUCCGGCUAGGAUCCUCUCUCAAGAGGACUGUCAAAGCUUUGUUUGUAAUAUAAUUAACAAUCAUGUCAUCCAUUGCUUAAUAAAAUAAUCAAAUUAACCACCAAUCUCUAAUAUAUUUGAAAAUAGCUAGGGCACAAUGUUCAACAUAAUACCUCUACGAUUAAUAUAAUAAGGUAUGUUCAAAUUAACCACCAAUAUUCUGUUAUGUUUGAAUAUAUAAUUAUAUGUAUAUAUAUGAGUCUGUUCUUUAGACAUCAACGUAAUAAGGUACUUUUGCUUUUUUGCAUUGUUCUAAAAAUCGGCCUAGGCGGCACUUAGGUGCUGGGUGGUAGAGCCCAGCCCUGAUUUUGGGCAAGGUGUUUGGAAAAAUCGGCUAAAAGCUAGUCAGCCCUAGGUGGCGCCUAGGUGGGCUAGGCAGGCCUAGGUAGCUCCUAGACGGAGAGCUAGGUGGCACCUAGGCGGUCCAUUGCGGUUGUUUUUUACCAUUUUUUUAUAUUAAUUGUGUGUUUUUUUCUUUUU